rnacentral:rRNA from 1 species
CACGGAGGGUGCAAGCGUUAUUCGGAAUCACUGGGCGUAAAGAGCGCGUAGGCGGUCUCUUAAGUCAGAUGUGAAAGCCCGGGGCUUAACCCCGGAAGUGCAUUUGAAACUAAGGGGCUUGAGUAUGGGAGAGGGAAGUGGAAUUCCUGGUGUAGAGGUGAAAUGCGUAGAUAUCGGGAAGAACACCGGUGGCGAUGGCGACCACCUGGACCGACACUGACGCUGAGGCGCGAAAGCGUGGGGAGCAAACAGG